CCUACGGGCGGCAGCAGUGGGGGAUAUUGCACAAUGGGGGGAACCCUGAUGCAGCGACGCCGCGUGGGUGAAGGAGUGCUUCGGCAUGUAAAGCCCUAUCGGCAGGGAAGAAGCAAGACGGUACCUGACUAAGAAGCCCCGGCUAACUACGUGCCAGCAGCCGCGGUAAUACGUAGGGGGCGAGCGUUAUCCGGAUUCACUGGGUGUAAAGGGAGCGUAGACGGCCAAGCAAGCCAGGGGUGAAAGCCCGGGGCCCAACCCCGGGACUGCCCUUGGAACUGCAUGGCUGGAGUGCGGGAGGGGCAGGCGGAAUUCCUGGUGUAGCGGUGAAAUGCGUAGAGAUCAGGAGGAACACCGGCGGCGAAGGCGGCCUGCUGGGUCGAUACUGACAUUGAGGCACGAAAGCGUGGGGAGCAAACAGGAUUAGAUACCCCAGUAGUC
rnacentral:rRNA from 1 species